rnacentral:rRNA from 1 species
CCUAAAAGCCUAAAUACCAUAAAGGCAACUGAUCUCAUCUGAUCUUGGAAGCUAAGUGGGGUCAGACUUGGUUAGUACCUGGAUGGAAGACCACCAUGAAUACUAGAUUCUAUGGGAU